CCCUAGCACUGAGGCAAAAUCUCUUCUUUCCUUCCCUCGCUGUUCCUCCCCAUGCCAGCUCCACGGUGGCAAUGGGAUGGUGGUGGUGCAGGACAGAAACACCCAAGAGCGAGGUCAGCUCCGGCAGACCCCUCACUGAAAAGUGCCAGAUCUGAAUGGGAUGAGGGGCCAGCUCGGCCUGCUCUGAUUGCCAGUCUGUGCAAGGAUUCCCUACCUGACCCGUCGAUCAGCCCGAAACUUCAACAUCUUUUUGGCAGCUUGCUCCCCAGUUCAGCAGCCUCAGAGGACCCACCAGCCACCCAGCUGCUACCAUCCCUCUGAGAACUUUCAGCCAGAAUGCUACCCGGUCAGACGACUGGAGACAGAAUCAGCAAGGAGGGAACAGCAUCCUCCUGGUUCAUACUCCCAAGGAGAAAAUGCAGAAGAGAAGAGACAGGCAUGCACGGAGCAGGUGUGCCACUUCCAGCGUGACCAGCUUUCGGUAUAGACAGGAGCAGAAUGCAUGAGGCAUCUCUGUGAUCGGCCCCUGGCCACCCUCCCCUCAGACUGGGCAGCAGCUUGCUUGCCCUCUGCAUGCAGUGGUCCUGCUGGUGGAGAGCCGGACACAGCGGAGGCAGAGCGCGGAUGGGUGUGGAGGCUGUAACAUCAGAGCGGACGG